AUGAACGUCAUCCACAUGCUGGAGAAUUUU
rnacentral:piRNA from 1 species